UACGUAGGGUGCGAGCGUUGUCCGGAAUUAUUGGGCGUAAAGCGUGCGCAGGCGGUUCGUUAAGUUCGAUGUGAAAGCCCCGGGCUCAACCUGGGAACUGCAUUGGAAACUGGCGAGCUUGAAUGCGGCAGAGGGGGGUGGAAUUCCGCGUGUAGCAGUGAAAUGCGUAGAGAUGCGGAGGAACACCGAUGGCGAAGGCAGCCCCCUGGGCCGACAUUGACGCUCAGGCACGAAAGCGUGGGGAGCAAACAGG
rnacentral:rRNA from 1 species